AAGACUGGACUAAAGUCUGUACACCAUGAUGCAUGACUCUCAACAACAUGCAUUAUCACCAAAAGAAUCUCCAAAAUUAUCACCAUGCAUUUUUUUACCAUUAUGCACAACAUCAUUCUUAACACACAAUAUAGUAAUCAAUGUUAUGACAAUUAGCAAAAAACACCAAACAUCAACACUCAUCAAAUGCAUAAUCACAUAGCAUUUAA
rnacentral:lncRNA from 1 species